AUGUAAGAGACACAACUCGUAUUGUCUUGUUAAAGCAUGCAGUCAUGAGUUACUUGUAUUGAGGUUUAUAGAUAUGUGAAUCUAUGAAUAAAGCCAGUUGUGAGUUACCCAC